rnacentral:rRNA from 1 species
GACGAACGCUGGCGGCGUGCUUAACACAUGCAAGUCGAACGGUAACAGGCCGCAAGGUGCUGACGAGUGGCGAACGGGUGAGUAAUGCAUCGGAACGUGCCCAGUCGUGGGGGAUAACGCAGCGAAAGCUGCGCUAAUACCGCAUACGAUCUAUGGAUGAAAGCGGGGGACCGUAAGGCCCCGCGCGAUUGGAGCGGCCGAUGUCAGAUUAGGUAGGUGGUGGGGUAAAGGCUCACCAAGCCAACGAUCUGUAGCUGGUCUGAGAGGACGACCAGCCACACUGGGACUGAGACACGGCCCAGACUCCUACGGGAGGCAGCAGUGGGGAAUUUUGGACAAUGGGCGCAAGCCUGAUCCAGCAAUGCCGCGUGCAGGAAGAAGGCCUUCGGGUUGUAAACUGCUUUUGUACGGAACGAAACGGUCCUGGUUAAUACCUGGGGCUAAUGACGGUACCGUAAGAAUAAGCACCGGCUAACUACGUGCCAGCCGCCGCAGUAACAC